UUUUGUUUUUUUAACAUUACACCCGAUACCAUGAAAAGACAACGUGAAAACGUAGAAAGUUUGAAGACAUUUUAACACUUUGGAAACGCUGUCCCUACCCCGGCCAGUUCCCGACUCGCGCGCGUGGGCAAGGGACGCAGAGUUCCGUUCUCGGUUGCCCGCAGGUGUGGUUUAACCACGCCCCACCCCGCGCCCGUCCAGCCGCGGGCCGGGUGCUGGGCGUCGGCAGGUGGACGGCGCGCCCCUUCUCGAGGACCGACCAGUGCUCGGCGCCCUGCCCACGUGCGGCGGGGGUGUUGGGGGGCCCAGGACUCGGCACCAGGCGCCUCUCUUUCCCAGCGCGCGUGCUGUAAGGGCACAGCGGUUCUCCCCCCUUGCUCUCCGACGCACCGUGGCCAUUUGGUACGAAUGGAUCCCAUUCGAUUUCUUGCUUCGCAAAACUGGGGGAAUCAACAUUCGAGCUCAAGGGACCAGAGCACUCUGUUUCAUAUAAGUGUGAGUAAGAAAAAAAGAAUGAAAGGGUAAAGUGCGGAGGGAAAGAAAGAAAAGCCUGGGCUCGUCCGGGAUUUGAACCCGGGACCUCUCGCACCCGAAGCGAGAAUCAUACCCCUAGACCAACGAGCCACUCUCGGCAGAGCGGCUCCCGGCGCCUCCCUUCAGCCUCGCCCCGCCUCUCGUCGCCUUUCCCGCCGACCCGACCUGCGACCUUUCUCCCACCGCCUGGACCGUGCACCCGCAGCGGUGGGCCUCGGAACGCCUCUCGCCUCAGCCAGACCACCCAGCGCCCGGGUCUACGCUGCACACGGCGUGGCGGCGGGCGCGGAGGCCGCGGCUGGGAGGGUGCGGGGCCCCGCGGGUGCCGGCCGCGCAGCGUCUCGCCGCCGUCAGUGCUCGCUGGGCGCGAGGGGACCGUCGCGCCUGGCUCAGCCUCCCGUUCGUGCCCUCGGACGGCAGCCCGCUGCUGAAAGCAGGCGGGCGGAGCGGGCGCGGAAGAAACCCCGGAGGAGGGUUAAGAGCUAACUUUCCCAGUGCUGCUUAUGGGAUCUUGCAGGCUGUCUGCCGUGACUUCAGAGGGCACCAGCGAGACAAUGCAGCAUGAUCUCCUUCUUCUGUAAGGGACCCUAAGUGGUGUCCAACAUUUCAUCCAUGUCAAUGUGACUUGACUGACGCAUCUGACCUUUUCCAGAUUUCUAGGUGAUUUCCUGAGGUGACAUGGUCAAAGGAGGUGACCAUGUCCUUUUUUGUCCUUUGACGACUUCUCCGGCUCUUGAAGCAAUUCCAUGCCAAUGAGCUUAGCUUGGCUGGUUAGCAAGUAAGGUGGAAACUGGCGUGGAAGAAGGGGACUGGUGGUUCUUGGAGAACUUUGAACCCCGUGCUUUGAUGUUUUAAUUUUACUUAAGGGAUUUGGGGGCAUCAAGGCUUUUUGAGAAUGACGGUAAUGUUAGAAGUCCGACGGAAGAAAGAUACCUUUGACUUGGGGUCAGAUGCACGGGAGGAAGAUGGGGAGAUUAGAGAAGGUCCAUUAAGAGAUGAUUAGAAUAACGCUGGGAAGAUGUCAGCCUUGAAACUGUGAACGGCUUGAAACAUCACUUAGGUUCCUAUUUUAUGAUUAACGGUUGUGUGCCACUGAAUUCGGACCCAAUCUAGACCUCAGCGGUGCAGCGUUGGUUCUGCCAUGAUGCGGUUACUCUUUGGAAAUGAGAAUACAAUUUAAUCAUACGGCUCCGCCAUUCAGAGGGACCUUCCUGCUCACUCGGCCCCCGGGACUGGACUCUCGACUGGGUGCCGAGCCUUGUUUGCUGCCUGUGAGGUUAGGCACCAACUGCCUCUCAGGCCACCGCAGUUGUCACAACUGGCAGAUCUGCUUCACCGCUGCAGGCCAUGUCCUGAUCCAAACAGAAACUUGAAUCUGCUCACACAUGCGUCUUUUUCCAGGCUCCAGUCCAAUAUCCCAUAGUAGCUUCAGCUACUUUUUACUAAACGCAUCUCUGGGUUUCGAUGCGGUUUCCCCUCGGUGACUCUUUUUCUGAGGUUUAUCUCAUGCCUUCCUCUGGAUUUUGCAGUCCCUGGAUCAUCAGAAAUGAAUCUUUGGAGCUGCCUCGGCCUGAGCGUUUUCACUCCCAAGUUUUCACUUGAUUUAAGCUUUGAGAGUGCACGAAGUCCUAGAGGGGAUAGAAGUCCAAGGUCUAGAUUGUGACAAGAACUGCCUUCUGCCAGAACACCAUUUCCACCAGCGCAUCUUAUUUUCCUUCUGUUUCAUACACACUUGGUCUUGCUCUGGAAGUUACUGGCUGGGGAGAAGAGGACAGAAGUGCACAGUUUCCAUGGGCAAAAAGUGUGAUUGUUCAUGAUAGUGUGUGACAAGGAAGAAAGAUAGACAAUUACAUAUCGUAAGAUCUUAAUUUUGUUACAACCAAGAAUUAAAACAAAACAAAUAUAUAUAUGUGUGUGUGUAUAUAUAUAUAUAUACACACACACAUAUAUAUACACAGAUUUAAAAACUAGAAAAAUCCAUAAAAUCUUAACACCAGUGAUUUCUAAGUAGAGGAAUUACAAUUUUUUGCUUAUUUUUCUUUUCCUCCACAAGUUGUUUAAAAUAAAGAUGUACUGCUUUUAUAAUGAGGGAAAAAAAUAAGGAUAAUGAGUAUCUUGAAAUCACAAAGGAACACAGAGGGCUUAAAACUUUCUUUGUGCUUGGUGGAAGACAGGAGAUACAGAAUCGGAGGCAAUGCAAAACAGGCCCUUUGCUUUUUCAUGCCAGCUGCUUCCAGAGGUGGUCAGUGAGUGACUGUCACCCCUGAGGGGCCAGGGGCAGCUGUGAUGGGGACGUGCCCGGCACCAUGCCACACCUGCGGCUUCCUUAGAUAGUCCGACAGGAGUGACCAGUGUUGGAAGUCCUAUUAUUUUGAGUACCAGCCGUAUAUAAUCAUCCUAGAGUCUUGUUCUGAAUGCUGGUACAUUCCAGACAAUUCCAGUACAUUCCAGUACAAUCCAGUCCACUCAUUCUUUUAAAAAAGAGGCGGUUGAGAAGUGUGAUAACUGACGUGACAGGUUUGCCUAAAUUCAAGUGCUUUCCUGAAAUCUGUAUGUAAAACUACACCACGAAGGGCCAGAGUCAUUACUUACGGGAGUACCCAGGGGGACUCUUGCUCAUUUCGACCCCUUCCUUCUGCAUCAUGUGCCCCUCCUGGCAUCUCCCUGGCAAUGCCAGGACCAGGGUGUUGCAGCUCCCACAGAGAAGCCCACAACUUGCCAGGAUUAGAAGGAAUAAGAAGUCUUUUUGCUUCUGUUUUUGAGGGGGAUGGUUUUGCCCUGGUGGCUCCCUUUUCACUGAGAAGCAUGAAACAUACUCGUUGUCUCCUCCUCCUCCGUGGGGUCUCAAAGAACCACGGUUUCCUGCCCCAUUUGACCACAGUGGAGCCUCUCUGGAAUUCCCACAGAUUUGUGGGAUUUGAGGGCAGAGCUGGAAUAAACGUCUUCUCAGCAACCAUAAUCACCGGGGUUGGGACCUCACUGGACUGAGGGGGAACCUGGGUUACCCCAAGCAAUAUUGGGAGGUGAGAGAAGUGUGUCUCCUGCCCCUAGACUUUUCUAUACCUUGCUCUUUUUUUCAACCCCAUCCGGGGAGGAUCUCAAGAACCAACUCAACCCAAGCGGGGAUGACAAAGGAGACUUAAACUAUUCCUUCUCUCAGGACAUGCAUUUUGAUUGGGGAAGAAGACCGAAGCCAGUGGAAUCAGGGGCUAAUUAUGACACUUCAGGCAUCUGGUAUCAGAUAAGGGAGGUGUUGGGUAGCGAUGGAUGUUGAAAAUAAUCCUACUCCAGCUCUGAAAUCAGUUCAAUCAUUCAUUACUUAACAAAUAUUUAUUGAGCACCUAUAAUGCAUGAGGCACUAUACACAAUGAAGAACAAUACAGACAUCGUCUUUACCCUCAUGAAGCUCCAGGUUAGCUCUGGACAAGCAAUACAUUAUUCCAUGAAAUCAUGAGACUCAUUUUCACUGGUGGCUUAUGAACAGAAAUUCCAUUUUAUUUGAGUAGCGCUUGCAUUUUGCUCAGUGGUCUUGGUAUCUUCAGAAGUCAUCUGGUCACACAUCAUAUAGAAGCAUUCUAUUCAUACUAUUUUUACCUGGUCCGUAGAGCAUCAAGUUGAUUAAAACAAAUUUAAUUCUUUAGUAAACAAUGGAAUAGUAGUUCGGUGUAUCUGGGAUUUCCCUGUUGGACGCAUCUGGCGUGUGUGUGUGUGUGUGUGUGUGUGUGUGUGUUUGCCUACCCAGCAUAAUUCCCUUUGGUAACAGCACCCCAUUUGAGCUCUGCUGUUCCCAUUCACAGUCCUUGCAGAUUGCACAGGAUUGACCCUUAGCUCCUGGCAGGGGUCAGGGUGGUGGUGUCAUGUGACCCAGGCCUGGCCAAUCUGAACUCUGCACCUCCUUGGUCACAGAGACUGGUUCAGCUAGGAACAUGUGAUCCACAGGGGCCUAUAGAAAACCUUUUCAGGAUUUCCUCCUCCCCCCCCCCCCCUUAUCGGAAAAGAAUCUGCUUUUUCCAAUUGGUUUGCAGGUUUCCAAUUGGUUUCCAAUUGGUUUGAAGAGCCUGGUUGGGAAUAUGGCCAACACAGAGGAAAGCAGAGACCAAGGAUGAGAGGUUUCUGACACUGAGUGUUGUAUUUAGGCCUAUCCACGGAUUUGUAUGUUACUCAGCAUAUAGGUAGAGAGAGAGAGAAAGGCAGGGGGAGAGAGGGAGAGAGAGGUUGAUUCAAUAGUUUUGUUUUUCAUCAGCCAAUUUUGGUUGGGCUUCUUUCAUUAGCAACUGAAGGUCCCCAUUCAUUCAACUAAACUAUUACACUCCCUAAAGUAUUUAAUCAAAAGAAGAUGAUGAGCCGAUUGCCUGUCCACUGGUUUCUUCCUUUUAUUGGACAUAUAUUUAUUGUCUAGUCUACUGAUCACAGGCCCAAACCAACGUGGUUCAGGGUGACCUCAGUGAGGAGAGCGGAGGGCCCAGACCCCGGGGCUUCUUGUGGUCAUCUGGUUAUCUGGUUCCACAUGCAACUAAAACAGUGUCACAGCCCCCUAUUAAACACUGGCAUAUCCUUUCAAAGCAGCCGGGGUUUUUUCCUUGCUCCAUUUCUGGAGAAAGGAAGGAUACAGUUUAAAAUUCAAGCUGGAUGACAAAGGUACAGGAGGAGGGACUCUGCCCCCUUUCUUUAGCCUUGUAGCUGUGAAGAACCAGUGUUUUCUUUCAAGCCUAUUAGGGAAGCCCGAAGGAAACACAAUCUUCCUGGCCCGGUGAGGACCUGGAGCUGCCUAAGACAGCCAUCGAUUCCUUUGAUCCUCCACUUUGAGAUCCCAGAUCUGCAAAUGCAACACAUAAUCAGAGUUGUUUCGGGAAAGGAGAGUGAUCACCAGCUGGCCUAGCCUGUGGCAGGACCCGAGGUUCUGAGGUUCCUGCACUUUGUGAACUCCCUGCUGAGAGCCCCCAUCACUAAUGACAACCUCUGGGAACAGGGUCUCUGUUUUCUCACAAAAGAGAUUCAGGAAUGUGACUAAGAGGGACCCAGGCAGACAGAAAGGUAUUCUGACCCCAUCACACCUGCUCCUUCAGUGUCACAUUCCUGUCAUUUUGUAUUGCUCCUUACUCACCUGCUGCUGUAAGGUGUAGCCGCUCCAGACAAAAAAUAGUUUCAUCUUCACAUCUACAUCCCGUGCUUUCUGUUCCAGUCCUUUUUCAAGUCAAGGAAAGUGGCAGAUGUCCCCUUUAUGUCACACAUGCUCAUAAUCAUGCACACAUUCACUAAACUCUGGUCUGAAUAUGCGUGCGUGUAGAAAUAACCCAAAGACAUAUAUAAUAGUUUGUGGGGGGGGGGGUGUAUACAUCUCUGUUGAUGAUAGAUAGAUGAUUGGAUGGACAGAUAUACAUUAUAUAGACCUCAAAUUAACUGAAACACACAUCUCUCCAAAAUUCUGCAAAAACAUAAAACUUCUAAUAUUGGGCUUGACUAUGUUACAAGUUUUAGAAGAUGCAUGUAUUUAAAAAUAGUUUUGAAAAAAUAUAUAUCCCAAGUAUUAACACUAUUCUGGCAUUAGGAAAACUGUAACAGGAUGAAAACAUAGAGGUACCAGCCGUGACAUAAGGCCCUUUGUCUGGAGGACUAUUUUCUGAGUCAGGGUAGGAGGUGGUCUAACAGGCUUCCAGAAAAACAACUGCCCGCCUACCUCAUCAGCACAACGAGACACUGAAAUACUCGAAUCUGAGUAAGAACCAACCCUAAAGAUUAAACAUUUAUGUGGAUUGACCUCUUUGGGCACGAGUGCAUCAAGAGGGGAGGAGGGUAUUAGUCAAGGAACGGGUAGUCAGGCCCCUGUUCCUUGCAAAGCCCCUGCACUUUCCACAAAGAACAUUAAAGCGAAAGCUACCCAGUGAGAACAGACUGAAGACCCAACCCUCCUCCCGAGUCUGGAAAGAGAAGCCUGGGCUUUGAUUCCAGAGCAGCUUCCCAGGGAAUCUAGGAAGGAUGUUCUAGUUUUGUACCUUUCAAAAUAUGAUGCUGAAAGCGCCUCCCAGGAAAGAUCUACUCCAUGCUCAAGAUCUCCUCCUGGAAGUGCAAAUCUCAUCCCUCCAGGCCCAGAGGGCAGGCAUCGUUAAGGUCUCCUUGCUCUGCACACAGCAAAUGCAGCACACGGAGCCGUGAAACCUCUGGACAUCUGCUUCUCCAUGAGGUUUGCUCCCUGCCUCCACCUCCUCCCCACCCCCCCACCCUCGGCAGAAGAGGGACCGCUAAGCCUGUCACCUCCCAGUGUACCAACAACUAGAAAACUACCCAAAAGUAAAAGCUCCCUCUGGAUGGAACAGAUACCUAUUUUUUUAAUGUUGCAGUAAGUAUCUCUUUCCAGUCCAAGGAUUAAAAACUGGCUGGCCAGUUCAAAUUUGGAUGAAGCUGAGAGGUUGUCUCCGGGUCUUGAUACAACGUAAGGUCUUCUGUAACUUAUCGGAUUUAUAUUUCCAGCGACACUAUUUUCUUUUGUUCCUAGCCGGUCUGAAAUUUGUUCUUACUUACAUCUGAGAAUCAUAACAACUUGUCAGAACAGUAAAAAGGGCAUCACUUUACACAAACAAAAUCUGAUUAGCUAAAUCAGAAUCCAGUUCCGACGUCAGCUGCAGGGACAGGUGGGUGUGGACAGGAUUCGGGCCCCGCAGCUGACCAGUAUUCCUGGGAGUUGUCACCACAGUAAAUUGUUUUAAAUAAUUUUUGUUUGUCUGCUUUUAACCAAGUCCGGUAAGGGACACAAACUCAGGCUGAUAAAAGGCUGCUGCCCUCUGCCGGAUCUCUGUCUGCAAGGGGACGUUCAGCGUGGAGACCUGGAAAGAACACGCUCUGUCUUCAGGCUGCCUCCGACCCUCCACGAAAUUCUGCUCUGGCUUCAUUUGCUGCUACUACUCUUGCUGCUACUUCUAAAGAGAGGUCUCCAGCAGCUGCAUCACUAGGCACAAGGAGCUCUUCACAUUUUAGUGUCCUGGACAGGAGUGUCAUCCUGUGAACAGAGGAGGAAAGAAGGAGUUAGGAAGAGAGGGUGGGGAAAAUCCUCAGCACAUCUUGGGGAUGCCAGAUCGAGCCAUCAUUGUACCACCAGUAGAAGGGACGGUAAUAAUAACGCUAUGUGCUUGA